AUUUUGGAGAGUUUGAUCCUGGCUCAGAGUGAACGCUGGCGGCGUGGUUUAGGCAUGCAAGUCGAACGAUCCCGCAAGGGAUAGUGGCAAAAGGGUGAGUAACAAGUGAGCAAUCUGCCCUCGAGUGGGGAACAACCCUGGGAAACCGGGGCUAAAACCGCAUAUGACCACGGCUCGGCAUCGGGCUGUGGUAAAAAGGGGGGACCGCAAGGCCUCUUGCUUGAGGAUGAGCUCGCUUCCUAUCAGCUUGUUGGCGGGGUAAUGGCCCACCAAGGCUUUUGACGGGUAGCUGGUCUGAGAGGAUGGUCAGCCACAUUGGGACUG
rnacentral:rRNA from 1 species